ACUACGGGAGGCAGCAGUGGGGAAUUUUGCGCAAUGCUCGUAAGAGUGACGCAGCGACGCCGCGUGAAUGACGAAGGCCUUCUGGUCGUAAAGUUCUUUCGACAGGGAAGAAAAUGCCUAUAAGUAACUGUGUAUGUAUUGACGGUACCUGUAUAAGCAGCCCCGGCUAACUCCGUGCCCGCGGCCGCGGUAAUACGGAGGGGGUGAGCGUUGUUUGGAGUGGCUGGGCGUAAAGAGCACGUAGGCGGUGUUGUAAGGCAUUAGUCAAAGACUAGAGCUCAACUUUAGUAAGGCUAGUGAUACUAUAAUACGAGAGUAUCAGAGAGGAGUGCAGAAUGCCUGGUGUAGCGGUGAAAUGCGUAGAUAUCAGGAGGAAUACCGUUAGCGAAGGCGGCAAUCUGGCUGGAAACUGACGCUGAGGUGCGAAAGCGUGGGUAGCAAACAGGAUUAGAUACCCCAGUAGUC
rnacentral:rRNA from 1 species